GAAAUAUUCCUUAAAAAGGAAAAAGGCAUCGUUAGGGCUUGGCUAAAACAUUAUCAGAGUUUGCAACGGAAGGCGUAACUGAAAUAAUCAGUGUUUACAGCGGAAUGCAUAAUUGAGAUACAUGUAUGAAGACAUGUAUCCUUUCUGAGCCUACUUUAAGUUCGACAAAAACUCCACUCAGCAACACUUCAUCGCCCAUCACAACUCAACCUGCACAAACAUAAACAUACGAAGGGCUGAGUACAAGAGUACUCAGUGGGCAGUGCCAAGCAUAUAACAUAAUAUCAACAACAAAACACAACUUCGCAUAAGAGGCAUAAGUUUCUUUCAAAUCCUUUGCUCAUUAAACAUUUCCAUAUUCAUAAACAGCAUGAGCGCAUUCUUCAUCAUUAACAAUCAUCAACACGCAUCGUGUCGUGGAGAAGGCCUUCCCCAACGAACACGGGCAUCGCACCGUGAAGGGGAGCCUCCCUCAGCGGUCACGGCAUCGUACUAUUGAGGGAGGCCUCCCCCAAUAGACGCUGUAACACUGGCAUACUGGCAUACUGGCAUCGCGCCGCGAGAGAGGCCUCUCUCAGCGGACACAGGCAUCGCGCCGUGAGGAAGGCCCUCCUCAACGGACACGGCAUCGUACUGUUGAGGGAGGCCUCCCCCAACAGACGCAAGCAUCGUACAUAAGUAUAAACUUAUCAGCGUAAAGCAUUCAAGCGUAAAUAAUAUAAACAGCAUAGCGUAAAUCAUUUAACGUGCAGCAUAAUAAAGCUUAACUCAUUUAAGCGUAAUAAAGCAUACCAUACUUGAAGAUCCAAUUUGCAUUUUAAAGCAUAACACUUGCAUAGCAUUUUAUCUACGCGUAAGAAAUUGCCCACCUCAAUUGUUCUUAAAGCUGGCGUGGAGUCGUUUCUUCUUCGGCUUCACUUUCUGUCGCCCGGACCUUCAUUGAUGAAGAGUCGAUAAGUUCGUGAAGUAAUUGUCAUAAGACAAAGUCUAAUUCUACGUGCCUAGGGUAUCUUUUAGUGUUUUAGGGUUCUAGCAUCCAUAAUUCGUUACAUUAAAGACAGUCAAAAAUCAAUCAUACCUCGUCUAAUCUCAUUCAAACACAUAGGCAACACAAACACAUAAGGCACAUAAGAAUCACAAUCAAACAUCAUCAAAACAUGCUCUGUUUUUACACUGACUCAACUUCAAAAUUUAAUCUGUUCUGACUCCGACAUCUCCUGGACUCGAGACUCAUACCGAAAGAAAGAUCUUCGAAUCUAGUUUCAUAUAAAAAAAAGUAGAGUCGAAAACUCCAAGUGGUUUGAGAGAUAUGACGUUUUUACCACGAUCUACCAUGUUCGGCAGUUUUGAACAAUCGAAAACUUGGAUUUUUGAAAAAUAGUAAACGUUGUCAAACUGGGCUCGACUUUGGUGGAUAUCUAUCUAACACAAUAAGGUUAAUACCAUAAAACUUUGGAAAGCUAGAUCACACAUGAAGCUACUGAAAUAAAUGACUCUUUCAUCUGUUCUCUGAAAUUCUCGGUAGUAAUGUGCAGUUUAGGUUUUGCAUUUUAAAGAGGUAUCAAACGAAGUUGGAAUGGCCUGAAAUUUUACCAGGGUACUCAAGACUCAUGUAGGGACUUGCUAUAAAAUUUUCAAAGCUAUUAGACAUCGACAAACCGUCGAUCACAGUAGGUCAGUAGGCCUACGAAAUUCAUAUUUAUAAGUCCUUAAAAAAAAUUAUUUAUAUAAAUCAAGAAAUAAGAGUUUAAUCCCAAAAAUAUUCAUUAAAAGUCCAUCAUAAUUUAAAUAAAGAACGGACCUCAUUUAAAAUAAAUAGUCCCAAACUUGUUACGCACAUAUACUAAAUCUUUCAUGAAACAUCCUUUAAAAUAAACUUUGAUACAUAGAAAAUAAUUCAACAACUUGAGCUCUUAAGGGGUUGUUUUGCAACAGACACCAAAUCUGCCUCGGAUCUCCAAAUGAGGCUCCAAAAGACAUUCUGGAAACUAGACAUUUCAAGGAUCAUUCUCCAAUUUGAAUCGAAUGAAAAACAAUUCAAACGAGCAAGAUAUGCCCUCUCAAAGAUGGGUAUUUAACAAGCAAAAAUCUGAAAAUUUCAGAUUUCCAGAUUACAACCAAGUCAGUGGGCUUUCUUUAAAAAUUCAUAUCUCCCUUUACAAAACUCCACUGGGAACCCCAAGGGUCAAUCUGGAAACUAGGGAGAGAUCAUAACACUCUCCAGUUGGAUUUACUCUAAGAACAUUCAUGGUUUAGAAGAUAUGACUGUCUAAAGUUCAGUGCACAAAAAGCGUUCAAGUUUGGCAGAUUCAUAACAUAAAUCAGAAAACCAACUUUAGGCUUCACCAAAAAUUCUAAAACUAAGCAAGUAAGUUCCCAACAUGUCAUUGAAUAUUCAGUAGAAAGCUAGGCUUGAGAAUCAAAGAUUUAAGUCGGGCUUUGCCACCUCAAAGUCGUAGGUUUGUAAAAUCUACUGGAUGGUACAUGGAAUAAGAACUAGAUUUCAAGAAUUUAUACCGGUUGUUUCCCUUAUUCAAAAAUGGUGAGGCCGAUGUCAAAAGAAAGAUACGGGAGUCUAGAGUGACAUAUUCAAGUUUCAAAGGUUUUCACCGAUUGAAACUUUACUUAUGGCCUCCCAAAGAUUGUUUACCAAAAAUGUAUUCCAGAUGGGCAGUGAUGUUUACAAAUUCAUAAAUAAAUCAUAAGAGCUUCAAACCUUCUGAAAUUUUGCCAAAGUAUAGAAAACAUAUGAAAGAUGAUACACAAUUAAUUUGGGAAUUUUUGGGAACCUUUUGGAUGGCUGGAAUCGCCUUGCAAAACACUGCCGGAGCAGUGUGCUUAUGGCAGAACUCGUGGCUGCUCUUCGGUUCCUUAGUGAAGAAUGAAGAUGAUGAAAAGAUUGUUGCCUGUAUAAUGGAAUGUUAGAUGCAUUCUUGCGUGUGGUGGGGAAGGGAGUAGGUGGAAAGUUUGGUGUAGUGGAAUUAGUGGAGUGGAAAGGGUGGUGAGAAAAAAUGUAGUGGAAGAAAGCAAAAGGUGGUGGAGAUAGUUGGUGGAGUGGAGAAGUGGAGAUUAUGCGUGUAUAGUGUAGGAGACAUUAGGGAGUGGAAAAAAAUAAUGAUGAUUGUAUGCUUACAUAUAUGUCUAGCAUAUUCAUGUAUCUACUUCAUAGCAUUGAUAGGUGAAACUGUAAUUGGUUAUAAGAGUUUGUAAAGUAUGAGAAUGAGAUUGAUGAAUAAAUGAAUUAUAUCCUCA